UCCCUACGGGAGGCAGCAGUGGGGAAUAUUGGACAAUGGGCGAAAGCCUGAUCCAGCAAUGCCGCGUGAGUGAUGAAGGCCUUAGGGUUGUAAAGCUCUUUUACCCGGGAUGAUAAUGACAGUACCGGGAGAAUAAGCUCCGGCUAACUCCGUGCCAGCAGCCGCGGUAAUACGGAGGGAGCUAGCGUUAUUCGGAAUUACUGGGCGUAAAGCGCACGUAGGCGGCUUUGUAAGUUAGAGGUGAAAGCCUGGAGCUCAACUCCAGAAUUGCCUUUAAGACUGCAUCGCUUGAAUCCAGGAGAGGG
rnacentral:rRNA from 1 species